ensembl:lncRNA
AUGCUAAAUUUAUGCAAACAGCUGUAUAUCUCAAUCUUUUUAUUUUUUCAGGUGGUGUAUUUUAAAGGGGAGCCAGCAACACCUAUUCCAGGCCCUCAGGGCCCUCCAGGAGCCCCUGGAGUAUCUGGAGUUCCAGGAGCUGCUGGACAAAGAGUAAGUUUGUCUGUGUGUAAAUAUGUUCAAGGUAAAUAUGUUGCUGUUAUAUAUCAUGAUGCAAGUUAUAAUAAUGUGACAUUUAUAGGGGGAGAGAGGUCUACCAGGCUUGAAAGGAGAUGUGGUGAGUGUGUUUUUACGAAUUUGUAUCUUAGUGGUCACUGCUCUGAGCUGACAUAAGGCAGUUCUCUCAGCAUACCUGACUGUAAUUAUUAAACUCUUUCGAUUGACAGGGUGAUCCAGGAGAGGAUGGCAGACCAGGAACUGCAGUGGUAAGCAAAACGCUCUCGCACACAGUCACACAUGCAUGGCUGGCAAGAUGACUAAUGUUGUUUUCCCCCUGUUUUGUCAUAGGAUGUGAAGAGAGCUUUUUCAGAAUUUGGCAUUGAGGUACUGAGAAAUUUAUCAAAAUGAUUGACAGAGUUUGUAUGUAGAUGUAGUUGUCACCUUCUCCCCUGUUAUUUGCAUACACUUUUCACUGCAGGUCAGAGAACUGAAACUAUUAGUUGAUGACAGAAGCAAUCUGAUGUCAAAGUUGAAUGAAUUGAUGGAGAGAAAGAAGGGAGAAAAAGGAGAUGCAGGACCUAGAGGCCCUCCAGGAGCAGAUGUGAGUUAAAAUCGUGCAUAUGUGCUACAAAGUGGUCUUUGGUAGUUUAUGUGUGAUUAGGUGUCAUUGUACCUUUUGCAAUGAAGAUCAUGCAAAAAAAAAAAAAAAAAAAUCAUUGGGCGCUGACCAUGGUGCUGAAAUGUAUUUCUGGUUAGAAAACAUCAAUCAACUCUAUAUUUCUUUCUUGUCUCAUCCUCUCCUCUUCUUUCUUUUUUAAACCUUGUUCUCUCUUCCUUGCAUACUGGCAUUCAGGGUGCAAGGGGUUUUCCAGGUGAACGAGGUGUGAAAGGAGAGCAGGGUGAGAAAGGGCCUCCUGGCCCACAGGGUCCUCCAGGCAGGGCAAUUGGAGAAAGAGGCCCAGAAGGUCUACCAGGACAGGCAGGUGAACCUGGAAAACCAGGAAUACCAGGAGUACCAGGACGAGCUGGUGAACUUGGAGAAGCUGGCAGACCUGGGGACAAGGUAAAGAUAAGAAGAGCAUUGGUAUUUUGUUACUAUAGCUGUUUUACUUCUUUUAGGAGAUAAAGAGCUGAUUAAAGAAAACACUUGAUAUAGAAUUAUUGUAGAAAUUAGAUUAAAAUUUGUCUUUGUUGCAGGGGGCAAAAGGGGAGAAAGGGGACAGAGGGCCAGCUGUAAGUACCAUUACUAUAAUUCAUGCAUGCUCAUGCAAGAUCCAGAAUGAGCUUUGCCUCACUUGCUAAUGCCAGUUGAAUUAAAAAAAUGUUCCAGCAAAAAUAAAUAAAUAAAUACAUUUAUUUUGCUGGUGCAUUUUCUUUCAUAAUGUAUGUAUAAAGUGUAAUUUCUGACCAGAGAAUUUUGCUUGCAUAUGGUGCUUGGUGUGUGUUCAAACCCUACUUUCUUGUUUUCAUAUAGAAUAAAUCUUCUCUUUUUUAGGGUCCGGCUGGAUUGCCUGGCCUAGGGGGGCCUCCAGGACCAAAGGUAAAACAAAAAAAGCUCACAUUUGUAGUGCACUAAGGAAAGUUGAAAAUCGAAUUUUGUCAAUUUUGUGUGUGCUAACAUAUUCAGCAUGUGUGUGUUUUAAGGGGGAUUCUGUCUCCGCUCAGAGUGGUUUGCCUGGUCCAAGGGGUCUUCCAGGCCCCCAAGGUAUCAGAGGAGAGGCUGGUCCAGUAGGACCUCCUGGACCUACAGGAGAGAGGGUGAGGGUUCUGAAACACUUAUCAGAGUCCUUAAAAAAGCCUUAAAAAGUCUUAGAUUUAGUUUAUUUAGUUUAGUUUAAUAAUUAUUAAAUUUAAGGUGAUAAAAAAUCUUAAAUGGUACAAGAAAUUCUUAAAUUUCUUAAAUUUGGGGAUGGAAAGACAAAACUUGCAAUAUGGCUUAAUGUGAUAAUUUAA